UUGAACUUUCCCAGGUGUACGGCUACAGACCGUCAUACUCCCAGUGUCCAAACCCACUUCCUGUUGUUUUGGUGGUCCGGACUACUCUGACCUCUACGUAACAUCUGCUCGUCUUGGCCUGAGUGAAUCGGAGAGCAGACUUCAGCCACUGGCUGGACACAUUUUUAGGGUGCGAGGACUUGGAGUGAAGGGUCGACCGUCGACUGCAUUCUCAAGAUAAGCAGCUAAAUGAAAAACAUCAAGUGGUCAGCAGCAGGACAUCCCCAAAACCUGUGCGGACGUGCGUUCGUGUUAUAUUUUCCUCUAUUGUUCUGAAAUGACUCAAUCAAUAAACAGAAAGAUUCAAAGUCA